rnacentral:rRNA from 1 species
AUGGACAAUUCCAUCCCUUAUUACCGUGGCUAUGCAUCAGAGACGGAUGACGAAGGUCCGGAUGAACAAGUUGAUGAGGUGGGGUUCACGCUGAAGGAGGCUGAAGCUUUCGAGAAGGUAUUCGGGCGGGAUCAUCGGGCUCCAUUGUUCAAGGAUGUUAGUCUCGCGGAUGAAGCUGUGGUAGAUGGCGUCCAAGGUAUAUCCACAGGAGUUAGGCCAAGCUCUCACCGGGAUUUGGAAGAUGGCAAGAACGGGAUUUCUCCUGGGUCUAAGUUCCAAACCUUCUUGGGGUUGACGAUGUGGCUCGACAACUACUCGGUUACGCAUUAUCGUCCACACAAGGUAGUGAACUCGGACGUCUAUGUGCGCUACACGGUUGCAUGUGAAGAGAGAAAAUGUCCAUGGAUUGUGCAUGCAAGAACAUGUAAAGGAGGGACCACCUGGAACUUAGUGAGUUGUGUACCAAGUCAUAUGUGUCGAGGCAAGAGGGUGAUGGGAAGGUUGUGUCCCAAAACCAUAGACAACUCACGUCUGAGUUCAUUGCUUACAGGCUUUCCAACUCAAUAUCCACACUUCCAAGAAUGA